rnacentral:rRNA from 1 species
UACGUAGGUGGCAAGCGUUGCUCGGAAUCACUGGGCGUAAAGGGCGCGUAGGCGGGGUGGUAAGUCGGGUGUGAAAUCCCUCGGCUCAACCGAGGAACUGCGCCCGAGACUGCUUCUCUUGAGUCCCGGAGAGGAAGGUGGAAUUCCCGGUGUAGCGGUGAAAUGUGUAGAGAUCGGGAGGAACACCGGUGGCGAAGGCGGCCUUCUGGACGGUGACUGACGCUGAGGCGCGAAAGCGUGGGGAGCAAACGGG